GAUGAGCCAAACUACCUAUCAGCACUGGAAGCAAAAUUUGGAUGUAAAACAUGAUAAUGUCUACCACAGACCUGGUUUUAAAAUUUAGCGGUAACACAACUUUCCCUUUUUGUUUCUACCAUGGGCUGAAAAUUCUCUGACCAAUUUUUUACGUAAUUGAUGCACCAGCUACUUAUAGCUACAGGGGACCCUGCCUGGAUGAUAAGAGCAGAGAUCCACGUUGCUUCUGAUUAUGAGAUCAGCCGCCCAAUCAAUGAGAUGAGGUUUCCUCGACGCACUUGUUUUUGUCAGAUGUAGUGAAAUGAUAUGGGUGAACGUGCAGGCUCAAUGUAGCUGUGGGUAGCAUAUGCCAGUCAGUGGUCUAGGGCCUUAUAGAAGACCACCAUUAGUCCCUUAAAGAAGGGCCCUUGUUUACCCUUAUCUAGAGGUUUAGCACUAAAUGAGUAUUACUACACAGACUAAUAACAUAAGAUAUUAACUAACAUUUGUAUUACCAGGUAUCCAACUAGCUGUUGUUAAACUAUAGGUUUCAGCAUUUUCUGGGAGCAAAAAAGUAAAGUGCAACAGAUGGAGGGUUGGAAGCCAAUGUACACUUUUUUUUACUUGUCACUGUAGAUAGAAAGUGUUCCAUUAAAAAUCACUGUCUUCAAUAGAAAGGUUAUUGGAUGUCCUAAUAAAAAUAACCCUAGUU